UAUGUCAAGUCCAAAUAUCUAUCUAUAUGUAUCUCAAUUUGAUGAUGAUAAUUCAAUUGAUGAAAUAUUAAAAGCUCUUUCUAAUAUUCAUCUUACUCUAGCUAGGGACUUCCUGAGUCAUCAUCUUAUAAGACCAUAUAGAAUAUUCUCUCCUCUCAAAAAGAGUAAUUGAUUCCUUGUUGACCACUCACAACCUCCAUGCACACUUCACUAUAUCCAAAAUAUCUCACACAU
rnacentral:lncRNA from 1 species